AGAGAUGCAUUGGGUUUAAAGGGUGCGCAGGCGGUUUUGUAAGACAGAGGUGAAAUCCCCGGGCUCAACCUGGGAACUGCCUUUGUGACUGCAAGGCUGGAGUGCGGCAGAGGGGGAUGGAAUUCCGCGUGUAGCAGUGAAAUGCGUAGAUAUGCGGGGGAACACCGAUGGCGAAGGCAAUCCCCUGGGCCUGCACUGACGCUCAUGCACGAAAGCGUGGGGAGCAAACA
rnacentral:rRNA from 1 species